rnacentral:lncRNA from 1 species
GGAAUAAAAAUAUAAGGAAGUAAGACAAUUCCUAUUCUUAAAGACCUUAGGUUCUAAUGGAGAGAAACAUAAUGGAGGAACUGAGAAGAGGCAAAGGGAGAAAAGGUAUCCACUCAUUGAAGAGUGGAGAUAUCUAGAGAGUGAAUCUUCUGGGACUGAUCGUUCACAGUUGGAACCCCUCUUGAGAAAGUGAUGGAGGGAAGCAGACACCAGUCAUGAAACCAGGACCUCAUGGAUGGAAGGAAACUGAAAUGUCCUUGAGCUGAAGGGAAGGGGGUAAAUGGAUUGGAUCGCCACUGAAAAUUUCCCCAUUGAUCGAAUGACUCAAAACAGCCAAGUGGCAUAUUGUCAGAUGCAUAAAGUACUGGAUCUAGAGUUGGGAUUUCACAUCUGUCCUCAGAUACCUUCUAGCUAUGUGAAGGUGAGCAAGUCAUUAAAUAUUUAUCUGCCAAAGUUUCCUCA